UAUCGCCAUCUUCCACUUGUGUGAAGCAGCCUGACAAUAAGAGGUCCUGCUUUUGCUCAAAGUUCACUGCCUCCUCACUUGAGCCUUCGAGCAUCCGGUCCCAAGGCCUAGGUGCCCAAAAGUCUCCAGUUCUGUCCUGAACCUGAAGUCACCUUGGAUUCCAGGAAUGUGAAGCCUUGCAGGUCACCCCUUGAUGAGAUCACCCUUAAGUGGAAGCAAUGUUCCUAUGUUGGGAACCGAGGAGCAACCAUCUCAUGGGAACUGGCUUGUCCUCUCUUCUGAUAAGGACUUUUCCAGAGUUGCCCUAUAGAAUGAAGACCAAGUAGACCACAGACUGAUGGAGACUGCUUAAUUAUGCAUGUGAUGUACAAUUUCUCCUCGCCCUAACCCUACAGCUCCUGUUGGGUCCCAGAAGACUCAGUGCUUCAUCUCUGUCUUCCCAACAUUGCUAUAUCUGGUCAAAAUGCUUCCCUGAUUUUCCAUUAUUACUUUCCCACUGACUUCCGGGGCUAAUGGACAGACCUGAUUUGUUGAGACUCCUGGAGUCCAGCCACUGGCCACUCUAGACUUGAGAGAGGAAUCGCUGGGUCCCGCGGAAAGUUUAACAUUCUGAAGAACUGCUAUGUCCUUAUUUCCCAACAAACCCCACCAGCAGUGUAUGAACCUUCAUAUCUCUCCAUCCUCAUCAACGUUUGCUACUAUCUGCCCUUUCCACUGCAGCCAUCAUAGAGGGAUAUGGUAUGCCAUUGUGAUUUUGAUUGGCACUUCCCUGGUGAUUAAUAAUUUGAGCAUCUUUUCA